AUUAUUGGACAAUGGGUGCAACCCUGACCCAGCCAUGCCGCGUGAGUGCAGAAGGUCUUCGGUUUGUAAAUAACUUUAAGUUGGCAGGAAGGGCUUUAGGCUAAUACCCAGAAGUUCUGACGUUACCGACAGAAGAAGCACAGGCCAACUCUGUGCCAGCAGCCGCGGUAAUACAGAGGGUGGAAGCGUUAAUCGGAAUUACUGGGCGCAAAGCGCGCGUAGGUGGUUCAGUAAGAUGGGGGUGGAAUCCCCGGGCUUAACCUGGGAACUGCUUUCAUAACCGCUGAGCUAGAGUACGGUAGAGGGCAGUGGAAUUUCCUGUGUGGCGGUGGAAUGCGUAGAUAUAGGAAGGAACACCAGUGGCGAAGGCGACUACCUGGACUGAUACUGACACUGAGGUGCGAAAGCGUGGGGGGCAAAC
rnacentral:rRNA from 1 species